rnacentral:ncRNA from 1 species
AUGAGUAACGAUAAAAAGGUUUAUAAUCCUUUUCACCUAAAACAUAAGGUUUUAUUAUAAAAGUACGGCCCCUAAUUUAUAUUAUAUAAAUAUAUAAAAGAUGGGAUAAUUCUAAUAUUAAUAAAUAAUAAUAUAUAUUAUAUUUUAUAUAAUAAAUUAUAUAUUCCCUACCGGCCCUCAUGCUUGCAGUUAGGCGAGAGGGGUUAUCAAGAAAUUAUUAAUAUAUAUACCGUAAUGUAAACCGACACAGGUAUGUAAGUAGAGAAUAUGAAGGUGUAUUAGAUAAUUAAGGAGAAGGAACUCGGCAAAAAUAGUUCUAAAAUUAGAUAAGAUAAUAAAAACAAAGUUGUACAACUGUUUACUAAAAACACAGCACUUUGCAGAAAUAUAAAUUAAAGUAUAAGGUGUGAACUCUGCUCCAUGUUUAAUAUAUAAAAUAUAUUAUUAUAUUUGAUAAUAUAUAUAAAUUUAAUCAAAUAGCAGCCUUAUUAUGAGGGUUAUAAUGUAGCGAAAUUCAUUGGCUACUAAAUAUAGUCCUGCAUGAAUGACGUAAUGAUACAACAACUGUCUCCUCCUUAAGCUAAGUGAAAUU